AUGCGCGUGGGAAAUGGUUCCAAAGUCGAUGUGAUCGCCGUCGGCACGCUACCUCUACAUCUACCUUUGGGAUUAGUUUUAGACAUGAAUAAUUGUUAUUUGGUGCCGGCGUUAAGCAUGAACAUUAUAUCUGGAUCUUGUUUGAUGCGAGACGGUUAUUCAUUUAAAUCAGAGAAUAAUGGUUGUUAUAUUUAUAUGAGUAAUAUCUUUUAUGGUCAUGCACCCUUGAUGAGUGGUCUAUUUUUAUUGAAUCUCGAUAGUAGUGUUACACAUAUUCAUAGUAUUGAAGCCAAAAGAUAUAAGUUUAAUAAUGAUAUUUCAACUUAUUUGUGGCACUGCUGUUUAGGUCAUAUUGGUGUAAAGCGCAUGAAGAAACUCCAUGCUGAUGGGCUUUGGAAAUCAUUUGAUUAUGAAUCACUUGAUGCUUGCGAACCAUGCCUCAUGGGCAAGAUGACUAAGACUCCGUUCUCCGGAACAAUGGGGCGAGCAACAGACUUGUUGGAAAUAAUACAUACUGAUGUAUGCGGUCCGACGAGUGUUGAGGCUCGCGGCGGAUAUCGUUAUUUUCUGACCUUCACAGAUGAUUUGAGAAGAUAUGGGUAUAUCUACUUGAUGAAACAUAAGUCUGAAACAUUUGAAAAGUUCAAAGAAUUUUAG
rnacentral:rRNA from 1 species